CAGAAGAUAAGAUGGUUGGAUGACAUCACCAAGUAAACUCCGGGAUUUGAUGAUGGACAGGGAGGCCUGGUGUGCUGCAGUCCAUGGCGUUGCAAAGAGUCAGACACAACUGAGCGACUGAACUGACAUCAAUGAAAGGCAGCUAACUUUCUCACAAUGGAAGAGGGUUAAGGAGAAAGUCAUGAAAGUUUUAUAGCAGCUUUUAGGUUGCUAUAAUAAAGUUCUCAUUUUACCAGAUUCUACUCUUCUGAAUACUAAUUAUUUCAAGUUGUGUAUUCAAAUUUCACCUGCAUAAGCAGUUUUACUUGUGGUACCUAUUUUUAGUACAAUAGUUUUAUUUCAUUUUAGUAUAUGGAUUACUAGUGACAAACAGGAUUCAAGAUUGUUCAAAUCUUUACAGAGAAUUUUUGAUAUUGCCAAUAUGGUUUCUAAAAGAUGAACUAAAUGGGCUCAGAAGUUUGGUCAAGGAAACAAAAACAUUAGUCAUUUUCUUGACACUACAGCCAUUUAAUGUAAUGUGAUUUAAAUUAUAAUUGAAAUUGGAAGUGCUAGUUGCUCGGUCGUAUCCAACUCUUUGCAACCCCACAGACUAUAGCCACCAGGCUCCUGUCCAUGGAUUUCUUCAGGCAAGAAUACUGGAGUGGGUUGCCACUUCCUUCUCCAGGGGAUCUUCCCAACCCAGGGAUGAAACCUGGGUGUCCUGCUUUGCACGCAGAUGCUUUAAGAUCUGAGCUGCCAGGGAAGGGGACAAUUAAUUUAUACUUAGGGAAGGGGAGAAUUAAUUUAUACUUAGAUUCCUUUAAAAAGGAUGUCUUGAGUUUUUGAAGACAGUAAUAGCAAUUAAAAACUUGGAUAAAGUUCAGGUAUGUGGAAGUUUUCAGCUUAUCAGGAAUAUCUAAUUCAAAGUUCACUAACACCAAAUAUCCCCACCCAAUAGACUAUUUUCCCAAAUGCUGGGUUUAAGCUUCAUCAGAAAUUAAUAUAAAACAGGCUAUAUGUCUUUGAGAUUUAAAUUCUAGGUAGUCAUUGAUUCAUAUUAACUUUAUGCUCCCAAUGAUUGAUUUUAGAUUUUUAUCAAACUGCUUUAGAGAACUGAAAAGGUUGAGCACUUCUGCCCCAGCCUUCACGUUUCUCCAUGUCCCAUCAAGGAUCACUCGCUCUGGGGCCAAGUCCGCUGCCAGCUGUCAUUCAGGAGGUGCUGCGGAGACACCCACAUAGUAAGGAACUGAAUCCCUCCAACAGCCACGUGAGUCAGCCAUCUCCAAAGUAGCUUCUCCAGGCCUCGAUGACAGUACUGUAACCCGACGAGACCUUAAGCCAGAAUCGUCCAACUAAGCUGCCCUUGGAUUCCUGACUCAGAAACUGUGGGUGAUGAUGCAUGUUCAUUGUUUGAAGCCACAUUUUUUAAGAAAAAAAUCUGAAUAUAAGUUAUUGCUAGUCGAUGAACACUGCUAAUUAAAUCACAGCCUAAAGUGU